UAACAAUGGCUUUAGUGGCGGACUGGUGAGUAACGCGUGAGCAACCUGCCUACUAGAGGGGAAUAACAGUGAGAAAUCAUUGCUAAUACCGCAUAUGCCAUGAACAUCACAUGAUGAAAGUGGGAAAAGAGUAAUCUGCUAGUAGAUGGGCUCGCGUCUGAUUAGAUAGUUGGUGGGGUAACGGCCUACCAAGUCGACGAUCAGUAGCCGGACUGAGAGGUUGAACGGCCACAUUGGGACUGAGAUACGGCCCAGACUCCUACGGGAGGCAGCAGUCGGGAAUAUUGCGCAAUGGAGGAAACUCUGACGCAGUGACGCCGCGUAUAGGAAGAAGGUUUUCGGAUUGUAAACUAUUGUCGUUAGGGAAGAUACAAGACAGUACCUAAGGAGGAAGCUCCGGCUAACUACGUGCCAGCAGCCGCGGUAAUACGUAGGGGGCAAGCGUUAUCCGGAUUUAUUGGGUGUAAAGGGUGCGUAGACGGGAAAGCAAGUUAGUUGUGAAAUCCCUCGGCUUAACUGAGGAACUGCAACUAAAACUGUUUUUCUUGAGUGUUGGAGAGGAAAGUGGAAUUCCUAGUGUAGCGGUGAAAUGCGUAGAUAUUAGGAGGAACACCGGUGGCGAAGGCGACUUUCUGGACAAUAACUGACGUUGAGGCACGAAAGUGUGGGGAGCAAACAGGAUUAGAUACCCUGG
rnacentral:rRNA from 1 species